rnacentral:guide_RNA from 1 species
AUAUAUAACAAUGUAAAUGAUCAUAGCUGGUUUUAUAGAGAUGAAU